rnacentral:rRNA from 1 species
UACGAACCGUGCGAACGUUGUUCGGAAUCACUGGGCUUAAAGGGCGCGUAGGCGGACAAUCAAGUCAGGGGUGAAAUCCCACGGCUCAACCGUGGAAGUGCCUUUGAUACUGACUGUCUCGAGGGAGGUAGGGGCGUGCGGAACUUCCGGUGGAGCGGUGAAAUGCGUAGAUAUCGGAAGGAACGCCGGUGGCGAAGGCGGCGCGCUGGACCUCUUCUGACGCUGAGGCGCGAAAGCUAGGGGAGCAAACGGG